ensembl:antisense Gm38250 predicted gene, 38250
GGGUGUGCUAUUCCUUAGGCUGUCGAGGCUGUCUCCUACCAGACAGAAACCGAGGUCCAAGGAAGAGGAGGGGAGAGUUUCGGAGCCAAAUGGUUAUCCUCCAACUAGACUUUACACCCGCCCCCACCAGCUGCCCCAGUCUUAACGGACUUUGAUGUGUCUGAGCUUUAAGAAUCCUCAUUCUACUUUGUAACAAACCCUAGCAACUUCCUCAUGUAAGACCAAGUGCCAGUGAGCAAGGAGCAGCUGCUGCAGCCAUCACCAACAGAGGAGCAUCUUCAUCCAUUAACCCUCAGCGUGCCUACUAGCAACUUCCUCAUGUAAGACCAAGUGCCAGUGAGCAAGGAGCAGCUGCUGCAGCCAUCACCAACAGAGGAGCAUCUUCAUCCAUUAACCCUCAGCGUGCCUACUGUGUGACUGUGCCUGAUACAGAGAUGGCAUCGAUCCUUAGGACUUGGAAAAGGCUGAAAAUGAAGGAAACGAAGUACAUGAAAGAGCCGAGGCUGGCAGGUAAGGAAUCUGAGUCUCUUGAAGCUCCUUGGUCUCCAUGAGUCCUUAGAGAUGCUAAGCAAGGCAUAACUCAUCUUUGACAGUCCAGGAAGGUCCUGCUUCUCUCAUGAUUAAGAGAACCAUCUACUUCAGUGUGUCUACACUAUCGAUGGAACAUCCAGUGUAUAUGGUCCUUAUAGUCCACCCAAGAAUAAUGGACUACCGGGUAGACCCACAUUCAAACUUGCAGGGUUGAACCAAGGUCAGAGAGAAGCCC